rnacentral:rRNA from 1 species
UACGGGGGGGGCAAGCGUUGUUCGGAAUUACUGGGCGUAAAGGGCUCGUAGGCGGCCAACUAAGUCCGACGUGAAAGCCCCCGGCUCAACUGGGGAGGGUCAUUCGAUACUGUCCGACUUGAAGGCAGGAGAGAGAAGCAGAAUUCCCGGUGUAGUGGUGAAAUGCGUAGAUAUCGGGAGGAAUACCAGUGGCGAAGGCGGCUCACUGGCUCGUAUCUGACGCUCAGGCGCGACAGCGUGGGGAUCAAACAGG